rnacentral:rRNA from 1 species
UUGCGAAGGCAGCUUUCUGGAUCAAUACUGACGCUGAGGAACGAAAGCAUGGGUAGCGAAGAGGAUUAGAUACCCUCGUAGUCCAUGCCGUAAACGAUGUGUGUUAGACGUUGGGAAUUUAUUUUCAGUGUCUCAGCGAAAGCAAUAAACACACCGCCUGGGGAGUACGACCGCAAGGUUAAAACUCAAAUGAAUUGACGGGGACCCGCACAAGUAGUGGAGCAUGUGGUUUAAUUCGAAGAUACGCGCAGAACCUUACCAACACUUGACAUGUUCGUCGCGACUUUAAGAGAUUAAAGUUUUCGGUUCGGCCGGACGAAACACAGGUGCUGCAUGGCUGUCGUCAGCUCGUGUCGUGAGAUGUUGGGUUAAGUCCCGCAACGAGCGCAACCCUCACUUUUAGUUGCCAUCAUUUAGUUGGGCACUCUGAAAGAACUGCCAGUGAUAAGCUGGAGGAAGGUGGGGAUGACGUCAAGUCCUCAUGGCCCUUACGUGUUGGGCUACACACGUGCUACAAUGGCAUUUACAAUAGGAAGCAAGAUGGCGACAUUAAGCAAAUCCUAAAAAAAUGCCUCAGUUCGGAUUGUACUCUGCAACUCGAGUACAUGAAGCUGGAAUUACUAGUAAUCGCGGAUCAGCGCGCCGCGGUGAAUACGUUCCCGGGUCUUGUACACACCGCCCGUCACACCAUGGGAGUUGGUUCUACCUUAAGGCAAAGCCUAAAAACUUUGACCACGGUAUAGUCAGCGACUGGGGUGAAGUCGUAACAAGGUAGCC